rnacentral:rRNA from 1 species
AACGCUGGCGGUCAGGCCUAACACAUGCAAGUCGAGCGGAUGAAGGGAGCUUGCUCCUGGAUUCAGCGGCGGACGGGUGAGUAAUGCCUAGGAAUCUGCCUGGUAGUGGGGGAUAACGUCCGGAAACGGGCGCUAAUACCGCAUACGUCCUGAGGGAGAAAGUGGGGGAUCUUCGGACCUCACGCUAUCAGAUGAGCCUAGGUCGGAUUAGCUAGUUGGUGGGGUAAAGGCCUACCAAGGCGACGAUCCGUAACUGGUCUGAGAGGAUGAUCAGUCACACUGGAACUGAGACACGGUCCAGACUCCUACGGGAGGCAGCAGUGGGGAAUAUUGGACAAUGGGCGAAAGCCUGAUCCAGCCAUGCCGCGUGUGUGAAGAAGGUCUUCGGAUUGUAAAGCACUUUAAGUUGGGAGGAAGGGCAGUAAGUUAAUACCUUGCUGUUUUGACGUUACCAACAGAAUAAGCACCGGCUAACUUCGUGCCAGCAGCCGCGGUAAUACGAAGGGUGCAAGCGUUAAUCGGAAUUACUGGGCGUAAAGCGCGCGUAGGUGGUUCAGCAAGUUGGAUGUGAAAUCCCCGGGCUCAACCUGGGAACUGCAUCCAAAACUACUGAGCUAGAGUACGGUAGAGGGUGGUGGAAUUUCCUGUGUAGCGGUGAAAUGCGUAGAUAUAGGAAGGAACACCAGUGGCGAAGGCGACCACCUGGACUGAUACUGACACUGAGGUGCGAAAGCGUGGGGAGCAAACAGGAUUAGAUAACCCUGGUAGUCCACGCCGUAAACGAUGUCGACUAGCCGUUGGGAUCCUUGAGAUCUUAGUGGCGCAGCUAACGCGAUAAGUCGACCGCCUGGGGAGUACGGCCGCAAGGUUAAAACUCAAAUGAAUUGACGGGGGCCCGCACAAGCGGGGGAGCAUGUGGUUUAUUCGAAGCACGCGAAGAACCUUACCUGGCCUUGACAUGC